GCUGAGUAGUGAAAUGACAGUUUGGUUUGUAGUUCUGCGAGCUCAUACGGUAAAUAAGUGUUGAAGGGUUAGGUGAGAUAUCCGGUCACAAUGAUCUGAGAGCUCAUACGCUGAUAGCGGAUUAAAUAACAAAAUAAGCUUAAAAGUCGAUGGAAGCCAAAAAAAAUUGCAUAAUCAAUGUUCAGCUUAUAACUCUUCAUCUGCUAAUUUGCAUUUUAAAGCCAUAUUGAUGUUUUGCAAUUACUAAUUAUCGAAGUAUGCAAAUGCAAUAAAACAUACAAAUCCAAAUAAAUGUUCAAAAAUUCUUACUAUCAAA